AAUCCACUUAGCAAGAUUAGACUGACGCUGCUUGUCUACAGUCAGUUUCCAGGAAAGGAAAUAUUUAGCUGCCAUCAACUGUCUAACAAGAAAUUAUAAUUAUUUAUAUUAUAUAUUAUUUAUAAUAUUUUUUUAAUAAUAUUUAUAUAUGUAGUGGAAUAGAGGCAACAGCAGCAGACAUAUGAGAAAUAACAGCCUGUAGAGUCGAGCUUCAACAGCUUCUAAUUAAACACACGGAUGCACUGAGUGACCACUGGAACCACAAGCAGUGCUGAGGUCAACCGAGUGGGUUUAACCUUUAAACAUGUUGGGUUUGUCUGAUUACAGUGCUGCAGCUGCCAAAAAAAAACCUUUUUAAAAAGAUCGUCUUUUCAACUGACGAAGAGCACCUGUAUGUAUUUAUCUAUACAGGUAUUUAUAUAUAAAUGUAUUUAUAUAUACGUGCUUCAUGGAGACAUUACAUAAUUAGUGUUACCAGGAAAGAGGGGAAAAGAAUGAUGAUGAUGUAAAAACUGAGAUUUUUUUUAUUUCUAUUCCAAUGUGAAUGACAUUACAGGAACUGUGAUAGAAAUAAAAUAACCACAAAAUGCAGAAAAUCAGGAAACAUUCACAGCUCACAGCUAGAAGAUGAUUCCUUCACUAUUUGUGCCUAAAAUGAUGACAAUAAAUGAAGCACAAAAAUUAGGGGUUUAAUUAAUUCUUCAUUCAAUCAACUAAUUUAUUAUUCAACUAGUCACUUAAGCAUUUAGUUUAUAAUAAAAGGAGUGAUGGCUGUAUUCCUGCUUCAGAUUCAGGGUUCUGGUUUGUGAAUGUUGGCAUGCUGCUGGGAAACGUUCCCACUGUGCUUUUCCUUCUCUGAUACAUGUGCCUAUUCAGCCUUUCAUCCAAUACUUUCACUGAGUGAGCUGAGGUGUGACAGUAACCACUGUGAGGAUAGCCGUUCCAUGCAGCACAGAUGGACUGAGUGUUGUGGUCCUCUACGUACCGUAGGAAGCGGUUUAGGUCUCCGUGCCUCAUGUACUCGAACACCAUGGCCAGGGGCUCUCCAUCUGUGCAGACGCCAUAGAACCGCACAAUGUGCUGGUGCUGGAGCACCGUUAGGAGCUCCGCCUCCCGCUGGAAGUCCUGGCGAGUCGACUCGUUUGCAUCCUUCAGAGUCUGUGAACACACAAAGAUUUACAUUUACUUAAAUCUUUUUAUAUUUUCUAUCAUGAAUAAUUUUCUGUAAGAUUCCUUCAGCUCAGACUGAAGAAGUUAGACUGACCAUUUGCUUGUGUUUUACAGGAUUGACUGCAUCAAUUGUCACAUAAGAUUGGCAACAGAGGCUCCAGAAGUUUAAUAUAUUCUUUACCAGUUUCUGCCAGCAGGAGUGAAGAUGACAUUACAAAGACAAACAGCAGAAAUGAGGGUGCAACAGCAUGAACCAGGACAAGAACCUACCAAAGCUCCAUCCACAUAAUAAACAACGUUGGACAUGUUGCACACGCUCGGUAAAAUGAUGAGGACAAGAUGGUGGAGAUAAGGCUCAGCUGCUGACGAACAGAUUUGAUGACUUUCAAUAUGACAAAGUACUGCUCAGCGUGGACAUUAAACACAGCUCAAAUCAGAAGAUUUAUAAGAUGUAAUAGAAA